AUGAAAUUUAUAUUAUUACGUGUCGUCAUGCAAUUUGGCCUUGUCACAUGUCGCAUCACGUCUUUAAAGUACUGUAUUUGUGAACAGGCAUUAAGAAAAAUAAGUCAGAAUCAUGUGAGACACCUCCCGGUAUGCGCAACAUUAUAUGGUUAUUACUCCUAUAUCAGAAGCUUUGGGGUUCCAAUGGCAAAAUAUUUACAGUGCACUUUGUUAUUCCUUUCUUCAUGUUUGGUACAUUCAGCAAGGGAUACUACUGUACCUAACCAACCUCAAGUAUUGGAGAAAGGUGAUGUUUUGAAGCCAGCAGCUUCGUGA
rnacentral:rRNA from 1 species